rnacentral:tRNA from 1 species
ACCUUGGUGGCUCAGAUGGUAAAGCAUCUGCCUGCAAUGCGGGAGACCCAGGUUCGAUCCCUGGAUUGGGAA